UCUGCAUGUGGCUCAGUUGGUUAGAGCGCUGCACCUGAAUCGCGGGACCACAGGUUCUAUUCCUGUCAGUGGAU